rnacentral:rRNA from 1 species
UACGGAGGGGGUUAGCGUUGUUCGGAAUUACUGGGCGUAAAGCGCGCGUAGGCGGUUUGUUAAGUCGGAUGUGAAAGCCCCGGGCUUAACCUGGGAACUGCAUUUCAAACUGGAUAGCUAGAGUAUGUCAGAGGAAAGUGGAAUUUCCGGUGUAGCGGUGAAAUGCGUAGAUAUCGGAAAGAACAUCAGUGGCGAAGGCGGCUUUCUGGGAUAAUACUGACACUGAGGCGCGAAAGCGUGGGGAGCAAACAGG